AGGUUGAAAAAAUCUCCCUCUGUGGUUCUAAUUCUGACAAAUAUGCACAUUUACUGCUCCAAAAGGUGAAGAACCACUACCUAGAUAAAAAUCCACUGGAAUUAAAGAGAAACAAAACAAAUUUUGAGAAAAAAAAUGAUGAGGGAAGAUGAGUUUUAAAUUUUUGUUUAUCUCUUUAUCUACCUAUUGAUGAAAGCCCUCAUUUUGAUAACUUAAACUUGAACUCAGAAUCACCCAACGCUAUCUUCAAAAACCCAGAAUGGUUGAAAAAUCAAUGCUGCUCUGUGAAAGGCUUUUGUAUCUCUAGUUCUGCUUUUUGAGCUGAAAUGGAAGUUACUUGUCUUCCUGUCAGUCCCACAACCAGCCUGCAACCUCCAAAGCAUUUCUAUAUCUUGGGCUUCUCUGUAUUUUUGAAGGUGACCUAAGAACAGGUGUUCAACCAGUUUCCUCAUCCUUGGAGGAGGGAGCAGAGCCAUUCCUACCCAACCCACGGAGGCUGAGAGUGAGGAAAGGAAGCCACGGUCCUCUCGUCCAAGGAAGCAUCCGAGGAAGCGUGUCUCUGAUUGGUCCCUCAUGAGGAUGGCUCAUCUGGUUCUGGAUUUUGGCAGAACUUCUGGCUUUGUCCCAACCUCGGCAACUCCUCCAACCUCAGCAACUUUUCCAAUGCGUAGACACAGUUGCAGCCCCUGUGGCUUCCGGAGUUGUGUUACAGACAACCCCACCGCUGGGUUCCGAUAUGUAAUCAUCUCGUGUUUAUUAUCACGCAGGCUUUCCAUACGACACACGCCUCUCUCUGUUCUAAAUGUAAAAAAUACGCGGGAGUCACAGAAGUUCAGGUGGAAGAAUCCUUUAUCUCAUUUAUGCUUCUGACCACGAGAUCCUUAAACCCUAAUGUCCUUAAAGCCCAGUUGACCCCCAACGUAAAUGAAUUAAUGAUCCAUUCAUAGAGUAAAUUCUUUCUCACCCCCAUUUCCCCUCCAUUCACUUUUCCUCCCUACAAUUCUUCAGAGCCCCGGAGGCAGGGUCACGACCUCAAAUGCACCAAGUCCAGUCAGAAUGUAGGAAGGACUGAAGCCGUUAAGUGAGAAAAGAGUAAAAACUGCGGGAAGCUCUUUAUGGAACUUCUCUAGAAGUUCUGCAAGAACCCCAACUUCAAAUCCAGAUGCAAAGAAGAUAGUGUAAUCCAUAG